AAGCAAUAAGUAAUCCACCUGGGGAGUACGAUCGCAAGAUUGAAACUCAAAGGAAUUGACGGGGGCCCGCACAAGCGGAGGAGCAUGUGGUUUAAUUCGAUGAUACGCGAGGAACCUUACCUGGGCUCGAACGUGAGAUGACUAUGGGUGAAAGCUCAUAUCUCUUCGGAGCAUUUUACGAGGUGCUGCAUGGUUGUCGUCAGCUCGUGCCGUGAGGUGUCGGGUUAAGUCCCAUAACGAGCGCAACCCCUACCUUUAGUUGCCAACAGGUCAUGCUGGGGACUCUAAAGGAACUGCCUACGCAAGUAGUGAGGAAGGCGGGGAUGACGUCAAAUCAGCACGGCCCUUACGUCCAGGGCUACACACGUGCUACAAUGGCCGAUACAGAGGGCAGCUACCUGGUGACAGGAUGCAAAUCUCGAAAGUCGGUCUCA
rnacentral:rRNA from 1 species